GUGACGUCACGCGCGCGUCUCUGGUCUUGGUCGCCGUCUUCGCGCGGUCGCGGUCGUGCGUGGCCGCGGUCUCCUGGUGUGUCGCUGUCGCUGUCCCGGUGUCGCUACCCGCUAGGGCUGCACCAUGUACCACAGCAGCAGCCAGAAACGGCACUGGACCUUUGCGAGCGAGGAGCAGCUGGCGCGCCUGCGGGCCGACGCCAACCGCAAAUUCAAGUGCAGAGCGGUGGCUAACGGGAAGGUUCUUCCAAAUGAUCCAGUAUUUCUUGAGCCUUAUGAAGAAAUGACACUUUGCAAAUACUAUGAGAAAAGAUUAUUGGAAUUCUGUUCCGUGUUUAAACCAGCAAUGCCACGCUCUGUUGUGGGUACAGCUUGUAUGUAUUUCAAGCGUUUUUAUCUUAAUAAUUCAGUAAUGGAAUAUCACCCCCGGAUAAUAAUGCUCACUUGUGCAUUUUUGGCGUGCAAAGUAGAUGAAUUCAAUGUGUCUAGUCCUCAGUUUGUUGGAAAUCUUCGAGAGAGUCCCCUUGGGCAGGAGAAAGCACUGGAACAAAUUUUGGAAUAUGAACUACUACUUAUACAGCAGCUUAAUUUUCACCUUAUAGUCCACAAUCCGUAUCGACCGUUUGAAGGCUUCCUCAUUGAUAUAAAGACUCGAUACCCCAUGUUGGAGAAUCCAGAGAUUCUGAGGAAAACAGCUGAUGAUUUUCUUAGUAGAAUUGCAUUGACAGAUGCUUAUCUUUUAUACACACCUUCACAAAUUGCCCUGACUGCCAUUUUAUCAAGUGCCUCUAGGGCUGGAAUUACUAUGGAAAGCUAUUUAUCAGAGAGUCUGAUGCUGAGAGAAAAUAGAACUUGCCUGACACAGUUCCUGGAUAUAAUGAAAAGCAUGAGAAACCUAGUAAAAAAGUAUGAGCCACCCAGGUCUGAAGAAGUUGCUGUUCUGAAACAGAAGUUAGAGCGAUGUCAUUCUGCUGACCUUGCACUUAAUGUGGUUACAAAAGUUAAGUGGCUAUGGCAGAAACUCUGUGUGAGUCUCCCUCUUCCUCAGGGAUCCUUGGCCAUCAGUCCAUGAGGGAGGAGGGAGCGAAGCAGGGUUCAGAUGGCUGUGAACAUGAACAGAAAUAGCCUUCCGGGAGACUGCUUCAGUGUUACAGCUCACCUUUAUUCCAGAGAAGAAGAGGAAAGGCUAUGAAGAUGAUGACUAUGUAUCAAAGAAAUUCAAACAAGAAGAGGAGGAAUGGACUGAUGAUGACCUGGUAGAUUCUCUCUAACCAUCUGAAAUGACUACGGCAGUCCUAAGCAACAGAAGUAGGAAGCAUGUGUGACAUUUAACUUUCUUUUUAGUACAAUGUGAAAACGUCAAAAUAUAUUAAACCUUUCUAAUUAUA